rnacentral:misc_RNA from 1 species
UCGGACGGCGUCAUACAGU